rnacentral:rRNA from 2 species
UACGUAGGGUGCGAGCGUUGUCCGGAAUUACUGGGCGUAAAGAGCUCGUAGGCGGUUUGUCGCGUCGUCUGUGAAAACUCGCAGCUCAACUGUGGGCGUGCAGGCGAUACGGGCAGACUUGAGUACUGCAGGGGAGACUGGAAUUCCUGGUGUAGCGGUGAAAUGCGCAGAUAUCAGGAGGAACACCGGUGGCGAAGGCGGGUCUCUGGGCAGUAACUGACGCUGAGGAGCGAAAGCGUGGGUAGCAAACAGG